CCCAGGCCUUGUACACACCGCUCGUCACAUCAUGAAAGCCGUUUGUACCCGAAGUCGCCCCUCAAAAGGUGCCGAAGGUAUGGAUGGUGAUUGGGAUG
rnacentral:rRNA from 1 species